rnacentral:rRNA from 1 species
UGAGUGCGAGCUGCUACGGCAGCGAAGUUGGUGAUGUCAUGCUUCCUAGAGAAGCCCUAUACCCGUUAAGGCAUCAUGGCCUGUACCCGAAACCGACACAGGUGGGGUGGUAGAAAAUACCGAGGGGCGCGAGGUAACUCUCUCUAAGGAACUCGGCAAAAUGGCCCCGUAACUUCGGGAGAAGGGGUGCCACCGCAAGGUGGUCGCAGUGAAGAGGCCCAGGCGACUGUUUACCAAAAACACAGGUCUCCGCUAAGUCGCAAGACGAUGUAUGGGGGCUGACGCCUGCCCAGUGCCGGAAGGUUAAGGAAGCUGGUCAGCGCAAGCGAAGCUAGCGACUGAAGCCCCGGUGAACGGCGGCCGUAACUAUAACGGUCCUAAGGUAGCGAAAUUCCUUGUCGGGUAAGUUCCGACCCGCACGAAAGGCGUAACGAUCUGGGCGCUGUCUCGGAGAGAGGCUCGGCGAAAUAGAAUUGUCUGUGAAGAUGCGGACUACGUGCACCCGGACAGAAAGACCCUAUGAAGCUUUACUGUAGCUUGGUAUUGUGCCCGGGCUCGCAAUGCGCAGGAUAGGUGGGAGGCUUUGAUCAUCGGCUUGCGGGUCGAUGUGAGCCAACGGUGAGAUACCACUCUUUGCGAGCUAGGGUUCUAACGGCCACCCGUCAUCCGGGGGCCGGACAGUACCUGGUGGGCAGUUUGACUGGGGCGGUCGCCUCCUAAAAGGUAACGGAGGCGCGCAAAGGUUUGCUCAGGCUGGUUGGAAAUCAGCCGACGAGUGUAAAAGCAGAAGCAAGCUUGACUGUGAGACCAACAAGUCGAACAGGGAGGAAACUCGGCUUUAGUGAUCCGACGGUUCUGAGUGGAAGGGCCGUCGCUCAACGGAUAAAAGUUACUCUAGGAUAACAGGCUGAUCUCCCCCAAGAGUUCACAUCGACGGGGAGGUUUGGCACCUCGAUGUCGGCUCAUCGCAACCUGGGGCUGAAGUCGGUCCCAAGGGUUGGGCUGUUCGCCCAUUAAAGCGGUACGCGAGCUGGGUUCAGAACGUCGUGAGACAGUUCGGUCCAUAUCCGGUGCACGCGCAGGAAUAUUGAGAGGAUUUCUCCCUAGUACGAGAGGACCGGGAGGAACGCACCUCUGGUGUACCAGUUAUCGUGCCAACGGUAAACGCUGGGUAGCCAUGUGCGGAGUGGAUAACCGCUGAAAGCAUCUAAGUGGGAAGCCCACCUCAAGAUGAGUAUUCCCAUGGCGUAAGCCAGUAAGGUCACGGGAAGAACACCCGUUGAUAGGCUCUAUGUGGAAGCGCAGUAAUGCGUGAAGCAGAGGAGUACUAAUAGACCGAGGGCUUGACC